CUGGGUGAUAGAGCAGACAUGGUUCAGUUUCAGAAAGUUGAGGGAGGAGUCAUAGCUAGAGUAAAGAAAAGAAAAUUUUAUUUGUUGCUUGUAUACAGUCUCAUGUAAUUCUUCAUAUUUUUCAUAAGUAUACAUUUUAAUUGAUAGUAAUAUGAUAUUUUUUGUUAAUAAUAGCAAAGGCAUUGAGUCAGUGAGUGUUAUUCCCUAUGUCUGAUGAUUCAUUGUUUGUAUUCACAAUCUGUAUUAUCAGAAUCACUUUAAACCAAAGCUUUUUUAUUCCCUGCACACAUAGCCAAAAGAUUAUCACUGUUACUUCUGCCCACCUGUAAGCUAAUAAUAUAAACAUGAUAAAGCAGGUACUUGUAGAAUUUGUAUCUCGGUCUACUCUUAAAGUAAAAAGACAGGUGCUCAGUGUUUGCAUUUAGACAUACAGAACAUACUUCAACUAUUACAGAACUACAUAAACAUUACAGACUUGAGCUUGUACGUGUGCCAAUCUUACUGUCAUUUGACCAUAGAUGCAUAUACAUAUACAUUGACAUAUGAUGCUUCAGGUUGGUGGCAUACUUUCUUCCUAGUGUCUUAACAUUUAUGAACUUGUGUUUGACUUGAGGGGCAUUUUAGGAAAGCUGUGAAGAAAAGUAGGUUAUGAACUGAAGUCUGCUCUGUGCCAUAGACAUUUUGGAAGGUAAGGAAGAGCCUGCUCUCCAGUAUACAUGCCGAAUUUGUCCCCAGAUAAGGAUUUCUGAGUCCCUCAUGCCAGUUAAGAAUGGUGAAGUUUGUGACUAUACUGAAAAGUACUUUUGUGUUCAUUUAUUUAUAUAUAUUAAGAAUUUAAAAAAACAAACGUAAUUAGUUGUGAUUUUAGCAUAAGCGUUAUGUGGAGGGAGAGAGAAAUAACAGAGUCACAUCUUAAGCUCUAUUAGAUACUUAGGCUCCAAAAUGAAUUUGACAUAUUCUCAUUUUUCCAAAGACUUUUUUUUUACCUGGAAUAAGAAGAGAGGACUAGUGAAAACAUUUGAGUUGGAAAGGCUUAUGGGCAAAGGAAAGUCGGCCAAACCCUUGCAAUAUACCCUGAGUGCAAAUACAGUGUCUACGGAUAAGAAUACUUCUUUAAAAACAAACAUUUAUUUGUAAUACAAUUUUAAUUAGUAAGUAAAAGGUUUACAUUUUUUCUAUUGCUGUUGGUUUUAAAAUUUGCUACCCUGUAUUCUGAAAUAUUAUAAGAGUUAAUACCAAAAAUACUUUUAAUGUCUGACAUCUCUUACAUUUCACAUGGUUCUUUUUAUUCAGAUAUCAUUGUAAAUAAAAGUAAACUUGGAUAAAUUUGAGAAUAAACUUUUAAUUGUUGCAAACUAUGAUUAUCAAUUUGUAAAUUUACCCUUUGACCUAAUGUACAUUUUUUAAUGUAGUCAUUAAAUUGUCUAUAUUUAAUCUAUUAGUUUCUCUCUGUAAACGUUUUUAAUCUCAGUUGAAUGCUGGGCAGUUUAUAAUUAUGUACAAAGAUGUUUUUUUCCUAUCAAAGUUGACUUUUGCACAUUUUUGGAAAUGUUUAAUUUGUACACUGAUUUACUACUCUGACCAAUAAUUGUUGAUGGGUGUAUGAGUAUCGUGAAUGCGUGCAUUGAACUACUGUCUGUGUCUUUAUGUUUUAACUUCUUUCAAGAAGUAGCCAUCAGUAACUGCACUGCUAUUACUGACUUAAAUGGACCUUCUUGCUUUUACAAAGUAUACUUAUCUACAAAGUAUACUUAUUCUAUCUUUGUUGAAGAACUCAGGAGUUCAACAUCACUUUCUGAUUUUAUAUGUAUUCUAAAAUCCAUGACUGAGUUGAAAGUAUGCUUGUAACUGCGUAUCAGGGGAUGUGUGUGUAGAGAUGUCUUUGUCUGUCUGUAGGCACAUGUAUAUAUCCCAGUAAUUUCUUAUUUUCAUUUCAUUUCUACAUUUUUAUGAGCUUGUUUUAUAAGGGUACUGUUUAGUUAGAAUAAUUAAAUAUAUAUAAAAGCUUUCUGAGAGAUUAUUUACUAUAUGAAUAUAUUUUCAGCUGGCUGAUCAAAAAUAUUUUUUUAAUUUUGUUUUUAACCAUUUAAAGUGUAUUUGUAUUUCCAGAAUUGGAUGCAAAUUUACUUAGAUAUCGAUUAAAAUACUCCUGCAAGGAAGGGCAUUGAAUUCUCUUUUGAGAAUUCUGUGAAAUACAAAUGAAGAGGAAAAAAUAGGUUUUAAAGCAGUAACAACACACUGUCCAUUAAAAUGGCCUUUGAAUUCUCAAAGCUAUGAAGAAAUGUGAGAAACUAAAGUGUCUUGAAGAGAUGUCAAGAUUUUUUCUAUCUCCCAAUUGCUGUUGGCCUGUCCUGUUGUUUUUGAAUAUUUCCUAUAUUCUACCCUAAAGAUUUCAACUUUUGGUUUUUCUCUUACUGGAUAAAGUCAGAUUGCAUUUAUAAAACAGUGCAUUGACAUAUUGUGAUCCUCUGUAAUUGACUAUAAAUUGGUUUAGAAAUGUUCAAACAUACAUUGUGUCUUUAGACUGUACUGUGUAUUUUAAGUAACUGGCAGCAAAAGAAUUGGAAGUUAAAUUUCCAAUCUGACAAUGUUAUUGUACUUAAAAGAGUUUUUAAUAUGCGGUACCAUGUAAAAAUUACUUGUAUUAGGAAUAAAGUCCACUGUUGAAGUUGAAUGUCAGUCACUAAGUGUAUUAUGUUACAAGGAGCCGGUAUGAUUAGAAAAACCUAUCAGAAGCCAGAUACAGUGUGGUAUGUGCCACAUUUCAUGCACAUUUUGACUUUAUGUUGUUCAUUCAAAAUUGUGCUUGUAAAAAUGUAUAAAAUUUCUGAGUUUUACAAUUUUUUGUACUUAUUUUUUCUUGCUGGUAAAUAGCUUUUUAAAAAAAUCUAAUGUGAAAGAAACCAUGUUUAUAUUUUGUUAGUGAUCAAUGACUUUGUUUAUAUGGAAAUUUGUAUAUUGUUGGCUCACAUCUUUGUUUAGAUUUAUCAUGCAUGAAGGCCUGCAAUAAUUAGCACAAUGAAAAUUGCUUUUUCUUACAUGUUCAUUUUUUGAAAGAUUGUGGUGCAAAGGCUUACUCUGAGUAACCUUCUGGACUUUGGAAUGAAUAUAAAUGAAUGGCACUUUGAGUGUUAAUAAAGCUGAUAUUUAUUUCCACUG
rnacentral:lncRNA from 1 species